UACGGGGGGGCAAGCGUUGUUCGGAAUUACUGGGCGUAAAGCGUGCGUAGGUGGUUUGUUAAGUCUGAUGUGAAAGCCCUGGGCUCAACCUGGGAACGGCAUUGGAAACUGGCUUACUAGAGUGCGGUAGAGGGGUGUGGAAUUCCCGGUGUAGCAGUGAAAUGCGUAGAUAUCGGGAGGAACAUCUGUGGCGAAGGCGACACCCUGGACCAGCACUGACACUGAGGCACGAAAGCGUGGGGAGCAAACAGG
rnacentral:rRNA from 1 species